rnacentral:rRNA from 1 species
UACGUAGGCAGCGAGCGUUGUUCGGAGUUACUGGGCGUAAAGGGUGUGUAGGCGGUUGUUUAAGUUUGGUGUGAAAUCUCCCGGCUCAACUGGGAGGGUGCGCCGAAUACUGAAUGACUAGAGUGUGGGAGAGGUGAGUGGAAUUCCUGGUGUAGCGGUGAAAUGCGCAGAUAUCGGGAAGAACACCCGUGGCGAAGGCGGUUCUCUGGGACGGUACUGACGCUGAGACGCGAAAGCGUGGGGAGCGAACAGG